CGGUCCGACGGUGGAACCCACUCGGGGGCCGCGGGGCAGGAGGGCGAAUGGCUUCCACGCUCGGGGCUCAGGGGCUGGAGGAGAGGAAGCCUGAGGAGGAGGAGGAGGAAGGCCGGCGCAGGGUGACUGAUGCUGACCCAAGCCCCAGGAAGCCUCCGCUCUCCCUAGGGCGGGAAAGCAGCUUUGGGGGGUGUCAGGCCACACCCCUGUGAUGGAAACCCGUGUGGGGGGCCCCGACGCUGGGAUCAGGGAGCCCAAAGUGGCCAAGGUGUCGGGGCUCGCAGGGUUUGCUAGGGUCGGCAAGGCUGGAGGGGGCGGGGGGGAGUUUGCUGGGAGGGAGAGGAAAAAACUGCUCUCUAAACUCAGGCAGCAAAGUCCUGGCGCGCAAAUGGCUUUUCACUUCUCGAAGCUCGAGGCUCGCUACUGUGAACAAACCUUGAGGUUCGAAACAGCUGCAAAUAAUCAAGUGAGAGAAAGGCACGAUGUACUUCACCAAGAAUAAAUGGUUGUGGCUGGCAGUGCAAGUGACUCUCUAAAAAGAGGAAGCCUUCACAAUCUCCUGAGGCAGCUGCCGUCUGCAGACCUCCUGCACCGCCCAGGGAAGUGAGUCGGAACUCCUGCAGCUGAUGGGCGGAACAGUUACAAGAAGAUCUGAAGGUGGCCAAAAAUAACAGCACUUUCCACAUGAGGGUAAUAUUAUAGCCAAGAUCAUCACUGGGGUAGGGUAUCUUGUUCUUAGUUUUACAACCUAAAAAGUACGUGAAGACCCAAAGAUGGUUCAGGAAGGAGGAAUAAAGUCA
rnacentral:lncRNA from 1 species